rnacentral:miRNA from 1 species
CACAGUCGAUGAUCAUAGGGUU